AUUGAACGCUGGCGGCAGGCCUAACACAUGCAAGUCGAACGAGCGGCGGACGGGUGAGUAAUGUCUGGGAAUCUGCCCGAUGGAGGGGGAUAACUACUGGAAACAGUAGCUAAUACCGCAUACGAUUGGCUGUGCUCAGAGGGGAUUAGCUAGUAGGUGGGGUAACGGCUCACCCAGGCGACGAUCCCUAGCUGGUCUGAGAGGGUGACCAGCCACACUGGAACUGAGACACGGUCCAGACUCCUACGGGAGGCAGCAGUGGGGAAUAUUGCGCAAUGGGCGCAAGCCUGAUGCAGCCAUGCCGCGUGUAUGAAGAAGGCCUUCGGGUUGUAAAGUACUUUCGGCGAGGAAGCGUUACUCGCAGAAGAAGCACCGGCUAACUCCGUGCCAGCAGCCGCGGUAAUUC
rnacentral:rRNA from 1 species